ACGGGAGGCAGCAGUGGGGAAUUUUGGACAAUGGGGGAAACCCUGAUCCAGCGACGCCGCGUGGAGGACGAAGGUCUUCGGAUUGUAAACUCCUUUUGGAUGGGAAGAAAAAAAUGACGGUACCAUCAGAAAAAGCCACGGCUAACUUCGUGCCAGCAGCCGCGGUAAUACGAAGGUGGCGAGCGUUACUCGGAAUUACUAGGCGUAAAGCGUAUGUAGGUGGUUAUAUAAGUCUAUGGUGAAAUUUCCUGGCUCAACUGGGAAGGGUACAUAGAUACUGUAUGGCUUGAGUUUUAGAGGGGGAGACGGAAUUCCUGGUGUAGCGGUGAAAUGCGUAGAUAUCAGGAAGAACACCGAUGGCGAAAGCAGUCUCCUGGCUAAAUACUGACACUGAGGUACGAAAGCUAGGGUAGCAAACAGGAUUAGAUACCCUGGUA
rnacentral:rRNA from 2 species